rnacentral:rRNA from 1 species
GACGAACGCUGGCGGCGUGCUUAACACAUGCAAGUCGAACGGAAAGGCACUGCUUUUGUGGGGUUCUCGAGUGGCGAACGGGUGAGUAACACGUGAGUAACCUGCCCUUGACUUUGGGAUAACUUAAGGAAACUGGGCCUACUACCGGAUCGGAGCUCCCGUUGCAUGGAGGGGGUUGGAAAGUUUCGGCGGUUGGGGAUGGACUCGCGGCUUAUCAGCUUGUUGGUGGGGGAGUGGUUGACCAAGGCUUUGACGGGUAGCCGGCCUGAGAGGGUGACCGGCCACAUGGGGCCUGAGAUACGGCCCAGACUCCUACGGUAGACAGCAGUGGGGAACAUUGCACAACGGGCGGAAGCCUGAUGCAGCAGCGCCGCGUUCGUGAUGACGGCCUUCGGGUUGUAAACCGCUUUCGCCUGUGACGAAGCGUGAGUGACGGUAAUGGGUAAAGAAGCACCGGCUAACUACGUG